rnacentral:rRNA from 1 species
GACGAACGCUGGCGGCGUGCCUAAUACAUGCAAGUUGAGCGCUGAAGGUUGGUACUUGUACCAACUGGAUGAGCAGCGAACGGGUGAGUAACGCGUGGGGAAUCUGCCUUUGAGCGGGGGACAACAUUUGGAAACGAAUGCUAAUACCGCAUAAAAACUUUAAACACAAGUUUUAAGUUUGAAAGAUGCAAUUGCAUCACUCAAAGAUGGUCCCGCGUUGUAUUAGCUAGUUGGUGAGGUAAAGGCUCACCAAGGCGAUGAUACAUAGCCGACCUGAGAGGGGGAUCGGCCACAUUGGGACUGGGACACGGCCCAAACUCCUACGGGAGGCAGCAGUAGGGAAUCUUCGGCAAUGGACGAAAGUCUGACCGAGCAACGCCGCGUGAGUGAAGAAGGUUUUCGGAUCGGAAAACUCUGUUGGUAGAGAAGAACGUUGGUGGGAGUGGAAAGCUCAUCAAGUGACGGUAACUACCCAGAAAGGGACGGCUAACUACGUG